UUCCUUGCAUUGCUUACUCUGCUUUUCAAAAAUGAACUGUAAUUGAAAACGGGUGAACGAUAAAUGUAACAGUUGUCAUAGACAAAAAAAAAUUUAUUAACUUCAAUUUUACUUUCAUACAAAUUUGACAUCGAAUUUGUCUAUUACAUAAAAUCGUAGUAUAUUAAUCCAAAAUUUUAUUGUUCACAUAACUCAGCCAACUGCGCUCGAAACAAACGAAAUAAACUUCUUGCAAAUUCACCUUGAGAAUGGUAAAUACUCUUGAACGCUUUCUCUUCAUCCCUAGCCAAUUGAACAUGCUCCGAUAACCAAGAGGGGAAUUUUUGACCAGGCCUGCUUAUAUAUCCCACCCCUAAACGAUCUUUCAUAACAUCAAAUUUGUAUCUACUUACAGGUUCAUAAAAGUCAAUGAUUGCUUCUAAGCAUUGAUCACAUAUAUUGGUAGCAACAGAAGGCCGGUAAAAUGAGGUAAUGCAAUCUUUAAACUUAGUUAACUUCGGUAUUCUAUUGCAAAGCACACAACGGCCUACAAGAUUGCAUGCUAGCUCUAUAUAUGUAGACUCAUCGCAUGACUGUGUUCCAUCUCCUGUUUGGAUGAUCGAGGAGGCUAACGAAGAAGUAUCAGAAUGAAUUGUCUUUGCUGCAUAACUUUGAUAACUUGGAUCAAGAAAAAUUGGAAUGAUUGUAGGGAUAUCGGUAAAUUUGGCCACAGCACUUGUGUUUAUAGACUCAGAGCAAGUUACAGCCGAAUUUGGAUUUUUUUUAUGCACCUUAAGUAAUCGUUUCCAAAAUGAAACAUUUCGAGGGCUGAGAAUCUUUUUAAAACGUAAACAUGUAUUGGGGAGGUCAUGGAUAAGGGUAUGUCGUUGUUUUCUAUAUGAAAAUGCAAAGGGUAACUUCUCUAUGUAUGAAGCAUCAUAGCAAUAUGAAAAAAUCAGCUGUAAAAUUUCAUCCGGACAAUCCAAAAUUUUUGCAUACUUAGGACUCUCAGAUGAGUAUCUAUAAUAUAAAUUUGACUUAGGUGAAGCAACAGUUAAAUUUAAUGAAGAGUCAAGAUUAUCGCUACUUGGUAUUUUUCUGAAAGGCAGGACUUGGGUAGUAUACUCGGCAUAAUCAUUAAUCAAUUCUAGAAGAUUUCUACUUAGUGAGCAUUUAUCAAGUAGACCUUCAUAAUCAAUCAUUGCUGAAGCAUGCGAAUCUCCAUCAACAACCAACGUAUUCCAGACACCAUUCCAAUUGUCUUCUUCAUCAAAAUUAGAACAGAUCGAAACCAAUCGCUUCAUGGCUCUUACUCUUGCUAAACAAUGCACAAAUUCAUCAAAUGUUUGAGGCUUGAAAUAUGAGCUUCUUAUUUUUUUGCGAGUAUCGAUUAGUAUUCUUAAAAACGAUUCAUCUUGAUCCAAGUGCUCAUUCACGCUGGUAUUCAUAUAGCAUGUAUGCGUUUUGCAAUUUUGAAAUGAAAAUUGAAGCAUUUAGUUUGAUUAAGUAGUAGUACCCAUAUACAGUUCGUUGAUGGUGAUGUUGGCUGACUGCAAGCUCAAUUUGCCGGUUAUCAACAUUGCAUAAUUAUACAUCACAUGGUUACUUACUCAUACCGGCCUGAGAAUUAGGUGAAUAAAAACCUAUAUAGAAAACAGAAGUUUUAUAAUAAAAACUAGUGGUAUACUUCGCAUAUUAUACUAAUGUGGAUCGAAUUUAAUUCUUUGUGUGAAAGACGUAACAUUGGUGUUAUCAGAUCAGAUAAG
rnacentral:lncRNA from 1 species